AACGACUCUCGGCAACGGAUAUCUCGGCUCUCGCAUCGAUGAAGAACGUAGCGAAAUGCGAUACUUGGUGUGAAUUGCAGAAUCCCGUGAACCAUCGAGUUUUUGAACGCAAGUUGCGCCUCAAGCCUUCGGGCCGAGGGCACGCUUGCCUGGGCGUCACGC
rnacentral:rRNA from 2 species